AGCUCCAAAAGCGUAUAUUAAAGUUGUUGCAGUUAAAACGCUCGUAGUCGGGUUUCGGGUCGGGCCGAGCGGUCUGCCGAUGGGUAUGCACUGUUUGGCGCGGCCUUCUUUCCGGAGACCGCGGCUACUCUUAACUGAGCGGGCGUGGGAGACGGAUCGUUUACUUUGAAAAAUCAGAGUGUUUCAAGCAGGCAGCUCGCUCUUGCAUGGUACAGCAUGGGAUGAUUGAAUAGGACUCCGGUGCUAUUUUGUUGGUUUCGAACACCAGGAGUAAUGAUUAACAGGGACAGUCAGGGGCACUCGUAUUCCGUCGAGAGAGGUGAAAUUCUCAGACCAAUGGAAGACGAACCACUGCGAAAGCAUUUGCCAGGGAUGUUUUCA
rnacentral:rRNA from 1 species